UACGUAGGGUGCAAGCGUUAAUCGGAAUGACUGGGCGUAAAGGGUGCGCAGGCGGUUUAUCAAGACGAAUGUGAAAGCCCCGGGCUUAACCUGGGAAUGGCAUCCGUGACUGAUAAGCUAGAGUAUGGCAGAGGGAGGCAGAAUUCCACGUGUAGCAGUGAAAUGCGUAGAGAUGUGGAGGAAUAUCGAUGGCGAAGGCAGCCUCCUGGGCCAAUACUGACGCUCAUGCACGAAAGCGUGGGGAGCAAACAGG
rnacentral:rRNA from 1 species